AUUGAACCUUUGCGGCAGGCUUAACACAUGCAAGUCGAGCGGAGAGAGGUAGCUUGCUACUGAUCUUAGCGGCGGACGGGUGAGUAAUGCUUAGGAAUCUGCCUAUUAGUGGGGGACAACAUUUCGAAAGGAAUGCUAAUACCGCAUACGUCCUACGGGAGAAAGCAGGGGAUCUUCGGACCUUGCGCUAAUAGAUGAGCCUAAGUCGGAUUAGCUAGUUGGUGGGGUAAAGGCCUACCAAGGCGACGAUCUGUAGCGGGUCUGAGAGGAUGAUCCGCCACACUGGGACAGAGACACGGCCCAGACUCCUACGGGAGGCAGCAGUGGGGAAUAUUGGACAAUGGGCGCAAGCCUGAUCCAGCCAUGCCGCGUGUGUGAAGAAGGCCUUAUGGUUGUAAAGCACUUUAAGCGAGGAGGAGGCUACUUUAGUUAAUACCUAGAGAUAGUGGACGUUACUCGCAGAAUAAGCACCGGCUAACUCUGUGCCAGCAGCCGCGGUAAUACAGAGGGUGCAAGCGUUAAUCGGAUUUACUGGGCGUAAAGCGCGCGUAGGCGGCUAAUUAAGUCAAAUGUGAAAUCCCCGAGCUUAACUUGGGAAUUGCAUUCGAUACUGGUUAGCUAGAGUGUGGUAGAGGAUGGUAGAAUUCCAGGUGUAGCGGUGAAAUGCGUAGAGAUCUGGAGGAAUACCGAUGGCGAAGGCAGCCAUCUGGCCUAACACUGACGCUGAGGUGCGAAAGCAUGGGGAGCAAACAGGAUUAGAUACCCUGGUAGUCCAUGCCGUAAACGAUGUCUACUAGCCGUUGGGGCCUUUGAGGCUUUAGUGGCGCAGCUAACGCGAUAAGUAGACCGCCUGGGGAGUACGGUCGCAAGACUAAAACUCAAAUGAAUUGACGGGGGCCCGCACAAGCGGUGGAGCAUGUGGUUUAAUUCGAUGCAACGCGAAGAACCUUACCUGGCCUUGACAUAGUAAGAACUUUCCAGAGAUGGAUUGGUGCCUUCGGGAACUUACAUACAGGUGCUGCAUGGCUGUCGUCAGCUCGUGUCGUGAGAUGUUGGGUUAAGUCCCGCAACGAGCGCAACCCUUUUCCUUAUUUGCCAGCGAGUAAUGUCGGGAACUUUAAGGAUACUGCCAGUGACAAACUGGAGGAAGGCGGGGACGACGUCAAGUCAUCAUGGCCCUUACGGCCAGGGCUACACACGUGCUACAAUGGUCGGUACAAAGGGUUGCUACCUAGCGAUAGGAUGCUAAUCUCAAAAAGCCGAUCGUAGUCCGGAUUGGAGUCUGCAACUCGACUCCAUGAAGUCGGAAUCGCUAGUAAUCGCGGAUCAGAAUGCCGCGGUGAAUACGUUCCCGGGCCU
rnacentral:rRNA from 1 species